AGAGUUUGAUCCUGGCUCAGGGUGAAUGCUAGCGGUGCGCCUAACACAUGCAAGUCGAGCGAUAUUGAGUAGCUUGCUACGAGAGAAAGCGGCGAACGGGUGAGUAAAAUGUUGGUACCUGCCCCCUAAUCAGGGAUAGCCCAGGGAAACCUGGAGUAAUACCGGAUGAGUUCUAAGGAACAAAGAUUUAUCGAUAUGGGAGGGGCCUGCAAUCUAUCAGCUAGUUGGUGGGGUAAUAGCUUACCAAGGCAAUGACGGAUAAUUGGUCUGAGAGGAUGACCAGUCACAAUGGAACUGAGACACGGUCCAUACUCCUACGGGAGGCAGCAGUGAGGAAUCUUCCACAAUGGGGGCAACCCUGAUGGAGCGACACCGCGUGAAGGAUGAAUGCCUAACGGUUGUAAACUUCUUUUCUGAGGGAGCAAAAUGAGAGUACCUUAGGAAUAAGGGACGGCUAAAUACGUGCCAGCAGCCGCGGUAAUACGUAUGUCCCGAGCAUUACCCGGAAUUACUGGGUGUAAAGGGUUCGUAGGUUGUUAAACAAGUUGGAUAUAAAAGACCGAAGCUUAACUUCGAGUAUGUGCUCAAAACUGUAUAACUAGAAUUAGGGAGAGGUAAGCGGAAUUCUGAGUGUAGGGGUGCAAUCCGUAGAUACUCAGAGGAACACCAAAAGCGAAGGCAGCUUACUGGAACUAUAUUGACACUGAAGAACGAAAGCAUGGGGAGCGAAAAGGAUUAGAUACCCUUGUAGUCCAUGCCCCAAACGAUGAUAACUAAGUGUUCCUGUGAAAGGGAGUGCUGAAGCAAACGCAUUAAGU
rnacentral:rRNA from 1 species